CAGCAGGCGCGAAAACUUUACAAUGCCGGCAACGGCGAUAAGGGAACCUCGAGUGCCAGGUUACAAAUCUGGCUGUCGUGAUGCCUAAAAAGCAUUGCAUAGCAAGGGCCGGGCAAGACCGGUGCCAGCCGCCGCGGUAACACCGGCGGCUCGAGUGGUAACCGUUAUUAUUGGGUCUAAAGGGUCUGUAGCCGGCCGGGUAAGUCUCUUGGGAAAUCUGGCAGCUUAACUGUCAGGCUUUCAGGAGAUACUGCCUGGCUCGAGGCCGGGAGAGGUGAGAGGUACUUCAGGGGUAGGGGUGAAAUCUUGUAAUCCUUGAAGGACCACCAGUGGCGAAGGCGUCUCACCAGAACGGACCUGACGGCAAGGGACGAAAGCUAGGGGCACGAACCGGAUUAGAUACCCGGGUAGUCCUAGCCGUAAACGAUACUCGCUAGGUGUCGGCCACGGUGCGACCGUGGUCGGUGCCGUAGGGAAGCCGUGAAGCGAGCCACCUGGGAAGUACGGCCGCAAGGCUGAAACUUAAAGGAAUUGGCGGGGGAGCACAAGGGCGAUUCGCG
rnacentral:rRNA from 1 species